rnacentral:rRNA from 1 species
UACGUAGGGACCAAGCGUUGUUCGGAUUUACUGGGCGUAAAGGGCGCGUAGGCGGCAAUUCAAGUCAUCUGUGAAAUCUCCGGGCUUAACUCGGAACGGUCAGAUGAUACUGCUUUGCUAGAGUGCGGAAGGGGCAAUCGGAAUUCUAGGUGUAGCGGUGAAAUGCGUAGAUAUCAAGAGGAACACCUGAGGUGAAGACGGGUUGCUGGGCCGACACUGACGCUGACAGCGCGAAAGCCAGGGGAGCAAACGGG